UACGAGGGGUGCAAGCGUUAUCCGGAUUUACUGGGUUUAAAGGGUGCGCAGGCGGAUAUGUAAGUCAGUGGUGAAAUCUCUAGGCUUAACCUGGAAAUUGCCGUUGAUACUAUAUAUCUUGAAUGUUGUGGAGGUAAGCAGAAUAUGUCAUGUAGCGGUGAAAUGCUUAGAUAUGACAUAGAAUACCUAUUGCGAAGGCAGCUUACUACGCAGAUAUUGACGCUCAUGCACGAAAGCGUGGGGAUCAAACAGG
rnacentral:rRNA from 1 species